CUUGGUGGCUCAGAUGGUAAAGCGUCUGCCUGCAACGCAGGAGACAUGGGUUGGACCCCUAGUUCAAG
rnacentral:tRNA from 1 species